UCCUCCCUCAAAACCCGGGAAGACUGGGAAGGAGGCGCAAGAAAUGCCUCCCGCCUCCCCCAAAUCUUAGCAGCCGCUUGGGCAAAAGGCUGGAUCCCACCCCGGGUCUGCAGUGGCAGGAGACCCAGAAAUGGUGCCGAGGAGAAGAUCAGCUUCUGAGGCCCGACUCCCACCCAAGCCGUCUCUUUCACCACGCCCUUGGGGUUUGGGGGAGGGAAAAUUGGGAGACAAGAGGGAGCCUGCGAAUGGGAGACGUCCUUUCUGAGCGCAGCUUUCAGGGUUAAAGUUCCGGAAUCCGAGGUAAGAGUCGGUCUCUCUCUCUGUCUCUUUCUCUGUCUCUCUCUGUCUCUCUGUCUCUCUCUCUCUCUCUCUCAGAAAUACAAGCCGACUCAGCUGAGCUCGGUGACGUUGGGCUGCCUUGAUGCUUACAAAGUACUGAAAUUGCCUAUCCAACUAGCUCCCACUGCACGCCGCCUGCCUCUGUCUGUCUCUCUCUCUCUCCCUCCCUUCCUCCCUCCUCCCUCUCCCUUCCCACUCCCUCCCCCAACCACCUUUUCCAUUAGAUUUCCCGAACACUCAAAUCACAACAAGACUCUCAAACCCAGACCUCGAGAUCACCCCCUCCUCUCCACCCGCUCUCCAACCUCCAUCCAUCUCUGCUUCUCUGAGCGCGGCUCGGUGGCUGCAAAAAAUCCUGCACAAAUCAUCGCAAACCCGCUCGCCUUCUGCCCGGGAAGUAAUCUCGGUGACGCGGCUGUGCAGAGAACGGAGUACGAACGCACGAGGCGUGCACACACACGCUGGGAGCCUCCUCUGCAGCCUUGCCCGCGUUCUCUCUCCACCGCUGACCUCAAGACGGAGAACUGCCUGACCCCGCCUGGCCCAGCCUGCCGCCGCUAGCCGCCCUGAUAUCUCCCCCCAUCCCCACUCAUCACCCCGACUCUGAGAGACUCCGGGGUGAAGGCAGGGUGAAGGCAUACCCCAAUAAAAUAAAGAGGCAAUCAGGCGAUACCGACUAUCUCACCAGCCGCUGCACCUAUAGGACUUGGAGACGUCACGAGUCACGCAACCGGCCCGCGCGCUGUCACGCUCGACUGGGGGGCAGCGGCGGGAGGUUGA